rnacentral:rRNA from 1 species
UAUUCCCCACUGCUGCCUCCCGUAGGAGUUUGGGCCGUGUCUCAGUCCCAAUGUGGCCGUUCACCCUCUCAGGCCGGCUACUGAUCGUCGGUUUGGUAGGCCGUUACCCUGCCAACUGCCUAAUCAGACGCGGGACCAUCCUGUUCCACCGGAGUUUUUCACACUGCACCAUGCGGUGCUGUGCGCUUAUGCGGUAUUAACAGUCGUUUCCAACUGUUGUCCCCCUGCAUACGGCAGGUUACCCACGCGUUACUCACCCGUCCGCCACUAAGUAUAAACAAGAAUUGACCGAAAUCGCUUCAGCGUUUACACUCCGUUCGACUUGCAUGUGUUAAGCACGCCGCCAGCGUUCAUCCUGAGCCAA